rnacentral:rRNA from 1 species
GACAGAGGGUGCAAACGUUGCUCGGAAUUACUGGGCGUAAAGCGCGUGUAGGCGGAUUUGCAAGUCAGAUGUGAAAUCCCCGGGCUCAACCCGGGAACUGCAUUUGAAACUGUGAGUCUUGAGUAUCGGAGAGGAAAGCGGAAUUCCUGGUGUAGAGGUGAAAUUCGUAGAUAUCAGGAGGAACACCGGUGGCGAAGGCGGCUUUCUGGACGAUAACUGACGCUGAGACGCGAAAGCGUGGGGAGCAAACAGG